UACGUAGGGUGCAAGCGUUGCCCGGAUUUAUUGGGCGUAAAGGGCGCGUAGGCGGCUCGGCACGUCCGUUGUGAAAUCGCCCGGCUCAACUGGGCGGGGUCAGCGGAUACGGCCGAGCUUGAGCAAGCUAGGGGGCAAUGGAAUUCCCGGUGUAGUGGUGGAAUGCGUAGAUAUCGGAAGGAACACCAGUGGCGAAAGCGGCUUCCUGGUCCAGCACCGACGUUCAGGCACGAAAGCGUGGGGAGCAAACAGG
rnacentral:rRNA from 1 species